rnacentral:rRNA from 1 species
AUUGAACGCUGGCGGCAGGCCUAACACAUGCAGGUCGAGCGGAUGAAGGGAGCUUGCUCCUGGAUUCAGCGGCGGACGGGUGAGUAAUGCCUAGGAAUCUGCCUGGUAGUGGGGGAUAACGUCCGGAAACGGGCGCUAAUACCGCAUACGUCCUGAGGGAGAAAGUGGGGGAUCUUCGGACCUCACGCUAUCAGAUGAGCCUAGGUCGGAUUAGCUAGUUGGUGGGGUAAAGGCCUACCAAGGCGACGAUCCGUAACUGGUCUGAGAGGAUGAUCAGUCACACUGGAACUGAGACACGGUCCAGACUCCUACGGGAGGCAGCAGUGGGGAAUAUUGGACAAUGGGCGAAAGCCUGAUCCAGCCAUGCCGCGUGUGUGAAGAAGGUCUUUGGAUUGUAAAGCACUUUAAGUUGGGAGGAAGGGCAGUAAGUUAAUACCUUGCUGUUUUGACGUUACCAACAGAAUAAGCACCGGCUAACUUCGUG